CCUGCUCAGCACUGGAACUUCUGGAGAUGAUAAACACAAGCAACUCAUCCCCAGCUCCAUCCUGAGCACCUUCAGCAUUGCCACUCAGCACCUCAAAAUUGUGUGCGUCCAAUGCCAACUGUCCACCAUGGCAAAGGAACAAGACAUUUGCUCCAAGUUUCAGUGUUAAUAAAGAAGGUGAAUCUUUCACACCAGUGGUUGCAGAUGUCAUGCACUUGCCUCCUGCUAUUUGGAUCCACUGUGCUGCAGAGAGUGAACCAGGCAAACCCACCUGUAGAGGAGGGCAGGGAAAGUGAAAUCCCGAGCACCAAGCAGAGUCUUGCUGGAGACCACCGAGGAGACACAGCAUCAGCAAUUGCUGACAAAGCCCAUUGCACCAUCAGAACCAAGCCAAGGAUGAAAGAACGUGACACCAAUCUGUAUUUCCAGCAACCUUUGUUGGAAAGGUGGUCUGCACUCAUGAAUACUGUUGUUAUACCUACAGCCCCCAAAGAGCAACCUACUUGAGCUGUGACAGAGCUGCUCAUAUAACCAAGGGUAUAUGGUUAUGUAGCCUGUCUGGGGAUGUAAGCACAUUUACCUGUAGACUAAAGGAGAUGACCGAAUCCUUGUAAAUGAGCACAAAACAUCGCGAUGCCUAUGCCUUCAAACACCAAAGGAUGAGCAUGAACAGUGUCUCUAGAGCCACUCCAGACUCUAGACACUCAGCACUAGGUGUCCUGUGCUGAGAUACGACUACUGCUACUGACCACAGCUCACGUGCACGUGUCACAGGACCAGUCAAGGUCGUAAACUUAAGCAUAUUUAUAUCUCUUGGUAGGAACACAGCUGUAAUUAUAUUUUGGGUGUUUCUUGCCUUCUUCAAUUGCUGCCAGUGCUGCUUGUUUGCUACAGCGUAACCCGUGGCAUAUUUUAUAGGUUUUCAACCUUUGCACACAAUGGAUUAGAAAGAAAGUCAAUUAUGCAUAAGAUUGAAAGAGUUAUGUAAAUAUAAAACCAAUAUAAUGUAUUAUUUACAUACAGCCUGUACUUACCCUAAGUAACUUCUGCAGAAACCUGGGCUAUCACAAACAGCUCACACCUAAUUUCUGAGCCCUAUUCCAGAAAAGAGGGGAGGAUUCUGGCUACCUUAAAUCAGUGCUAAUAUUUUCUAGAUGAGAGCAUAUUUGUAUAAGAACAUAACUCAACAUAACACGGAUGGACAACAAGCAGGAUAAAUCUCUAUCAUUUAUUACAUUUGCUGAGCGAUCAAAGGUGUCUAACUAGACAUUUUU
rnacentral:lncRNA from 1 species